CCUGGCAUGCCGGGUCUCUGUCUCUCUGAAGCUAGUGAAAGUGGACUUGUUAGUUCUCUUAAGGAAGUCUGCCAUCCAAGUCUCUCACAACUAUUUCAACUGAUAUCUAGAAAAGCUCUAGUAAAAUCUUCAUCGUGGGCCGCAGCACGAGGAACUCAAGAAAAGGUUGUUCAGUGACGCUGCUCAUGUUGCAAAUUAGAAUGGCAGGCGCACAAUUCUAUCUGAAUGUUGCCUUUUAAGUGCAAUAUCUGUCCUUAUUGUUUGUAAGGUUGCCUGGCACUUUGCAUCAGUGAUCAUAAGAUACUCUGCUCAUCCUUUUUCUUGGCAAUCAAUACCUGGAAGGUCCAAAGGCAUCUGACUAUCAAGCAGAGGCAUGGAGAAUUGGUUUUAUUGUCUUUCAUCUGGUUUGGACAUCAAGGCAGGCAUUUCCAAGAGAUUGAGAUUUCAGUAUCUGGUGUCAACAAGUGUGAUGAUGGACAACUAUCAUUUCACAAAAUGAAGGUUCAGUGCGUCAGUACGGAGGAGGGGUGGAGGUUGAACACGGCUGGGUCUUGUGAUUUCGGCCUACAAUUCUCAAGGACAAUUGCGCUAAUAUGCAAUGGUUACUCUGUUUAUUCAGUCAAUAUACCACUCUAAUUAUCAGUCAAUGAACCUUGCCCAGAUGCCCCCAGUUGAUUAGAAGAAAAUUAGCUUCUGGUUCGAGAGUUCGAGAUAAAUGAAGGAAAAGUCACAAAACAUAUCUGGAAUUUCCUAAGAGCCAUGAUGCAGUCUAGAAACACCAUCUUAAGUUAGAAAGGAUCUAUGCUUCCCAGUGAUACCACAUAAAGUAGAGCACUGGAACACUACGCUCACGUCUCAUGCAUGGCAAUCCCCUAUUUAACUUCCAUAGGCAACUACAGCACAGACUCUUUAGAAUAGAAUUCCAAACCCCUCUUCCUAGCACAACAAUCUUUGGCAAAUAGGUCAGCUUGGUAAGGUUAAACUUCAAAUUUAAAGGUUGAGUUUGAAAUAUACAGUCUUGGUCACCACUCGGUCUGCAACAUUUGUGGAUUGCAAAUUUGCAACAAUGUCCAAAGCAUAUUUUUGCAGAACAAUGCCUCUUCAUCAAAUCUAUUUGCAAAUUUGUGUUGGAAAAGGGGUGCUCAUGACUGUCAAAAGCCUUUAUUAAAUAUUUCAGAAAUUUCGUUUCGAAUAUUCAUCCUGCUCUCCGCAAGGUGGUGUCAUGUAGAUUUCUAGUAUGCAAUUUGACUAAUUUCUGCAAAUUGGGAUCGAUCUGUUCACUUGCAGCUCUUGUAUUGAUUAAGUUGUUUGGUGAAUCAAGGUCAAAAUAAGAACAACCAAUAUAUCACAUUUAGUA